AUAACUGGCUUGUGGCAGCCAAGCGUUCAUAGCGACGUUGCUUUUUGAUCCUUCGAUGUCGGCUCUUCCUAUCAUUGCGAAGCAGAAUUCGCCAAGCGUCGGAUUGUUCACCCGCCAAUAGGGAACGUGAGCUGGGUUUAGACCGUCGUGAGACAGGUU